UACGUAGGUGGCAAGCGUUGUCCGGAUUUACUGGGCGUAAAGAGCGCGCAGGCGGUCGUUCAAGUCGCGUGUGAAAGCCCCCGGCUCAACUGGGGAGGGUCACGCGAUACUGAUCGACUCGAAGGCAGGAGAGGGUAGUGGAAUUCCCGGUGUAGUGGUGAAAUGCGUAGAUAUCAGGGGGAACACCCGUGGCGAAGGCGGCUCCCUGGGGCAUCCCUGACACUGAGAAGCGAAAGCUAGGGGAGCAAACGGG
rnacentral:rRNA from 1 species